AGAAACCCUGUCUCAGAAAAACAAACAAACAAAAACAAAAAACAGAUGAUCCAUUGUGAAAAUGACUUUUUUUUUCAUAAAAGAUUAUUACUGCUACUUUUUUCUUUGUGGUGCUGGGGAUGAAGCUCAGGACUUGUACCUGACAGGCAAACUGUUUGGUAUAAAGCCAGCCUAUCACUUUUUUGGGAGACCCACAGAAUGGACCCCUGAUGACCAUAGUUGCUCCUGUUUGGUGGAGGGCAGCUGCAGGAGUGCAGCCUGAACCUGGUGAGGUACAAACUUCAUGGGCAGCCUCUCUCUCCUCUGUUGUUGUCCAUCCUGUGGAGGACCAGGUGUUGGACUUGGGGUUUGUUGGGAGAUAGUGAUGUUAAGUGUGUGAGUGAGCACGGCCACAGGAAAGCUAGCCGGCCAGUUACUGUCAGGGAUGGGGUUCCUCGGGCUGCAUCUCUCCAGUGCUCACACUGCCAGUGGGAAGGCUGACUGGAUGGAUCCUGCCGUCUGUUAACCACCUCCCUUGCAUUGCAGGUGGUUCUCUCCAGGCAAUAACCCCUACACAGGAGCUCCUGACUGGCUGUACGCCGGCCAUUACUUUGAGCGUAACUUCUCAGACUGCCCAGACAUAUACUAAGGCCUGUGAGCCCAGGAGCAGCCUUGGAAUCCUCAAAUAGCAUCUGAGCUUUAUGGUGGCAGACACCACAAAUCAUGGAGAUAGCCUCGGACGUGACAGAGGCCCUCAGAGAGCCUCAGAUUGCCCAGUGCGUCACUAUGUUGCAGCCCCUUCAUGAAGCUCCAGUUGGGUCUUUCUAGUCACUGAGGCCUCAGAACUCCACAGUCCUUUCCUAGAUGACAGAGUGUAAAAGGCCAGCAGAGCUGGCAGCACACUCUGUUAUAAAAUGUAUAAUGAAGGAAGACCCAGCAGGGCCUGUGUGUUCCACUCAAGGCUGUGGCGUGGGUUCUGGAAGACUUUCAAACUCAGACCCAAGGAGGAGGGGAGCAUGGAUCCUGGAAGUGUCCUGUGGCCAGGGUCCCCUUCUUUGUGGAAUGAAGUGACAAGCCUCCAGAUUCUGUAUUUUCUACCAAUCUUGAAUAAGGUAAAGAUGACUUUAGAAAAUAUUUAAAUUGAAACUACUUGAAUUAUCUGCUAAAGUGCAGCAAACACAUAAUCACCACUGUGUACCGUCCAAACAAAGUGUCCCCGUGCCAAGCCAGAGUGGCAGGAACACUGUGACUUAGAUGAGGAACCCCCAGGGCCGCUCCAGCCUCGAAGGCCCUGCCUCAUCCACAGCGCUCCAUAGCUUCACUGUCACUGUGGACCACACCUGUCUCUAAGGUCAUUUCUUCACUCACCUCGCCUGUGUGCCCUCCCUGCUCCCCCAAAGUCUUGUGUUCGGUUCCCCAGUGUGCAUGUUUCAGUCCAGGCAAGUUACAUUCGGUUGUGUGCAAUAGAAGGUCAGAAGCAAGAUCUUACCUGGUGUCAUUAAAAUUGUUUUAACACAAGUAGGUGUGUCCACCUCUGCAUUCCUGUCACAUGAUGGACUUUAUGUAAAAAUGGUGACACCAAGGCUCACAGUGGAGCUCUUUGCAUCAAAGAUAAUCUACUGUGUACACACCUGUGCAUUCAUAGUGUGAGUCACACCAGGCAUUUGUAAAUGAGAAGGUAUGAUCACUAUGUCCAGGCUUCCAAACUGCCUCUGUCAUUAAAACACUUUGAAAAUCC
rnacentral:lncRNA from 1 species